GACGAACGCUGGCGGCGUGCUUAACACAUGCAAGUCGAACGAAGUGGCGAACGGGUGAGUAACGCGUAAUCAACCUGCCUUUCUGAGGUGUACAACAGAUGGAAACGACUUCUAAUACCGCAUACUGAAGGUGGGGGUUGCGUUGUAUUGGCAAGUUGGAGGGGUCACGGCCCACCACGGCGAUGAUCAGGAGCCGGUCAGAGAGGAAGAACGGGCACAUUGGGACUGAGGAAAGGCCCAGACUCUUACGGGAGGCAGCAGUGGGGAAUCUUCCGCAAUGGAGGAAAGUCUGACGGAGCAACGCCGGGGGAGUGAUGACGGCCUUCGGGUUGUAAAGCUAUGUUAAUCGGGACGCGGUACCGGAAUAGAAAGCAACGGCUAACUACGUGCCAGCAGCCGCGGUAAUAC
rnacentral:rRNA from 1 species